rnacentral:rRNA from 1 species
CAUGCUUUUACAGUAUGAAAAUUGGUGAUUUAUAAUAACUUAGCAAAUCGCAAAGUGAAAACAGGCGAUAAAUCAUUCAAGUUUCUGACCUAUCAGCUUUCGACGGUAUGGUAUUGGCUUACCGUGGCAGUGACGGUUAACGGGGGAUUAGGGUUCGAUUCCGGAGAGGGAGCCUGAGAAACGGCUACCACAUCUAAGGAAGGCAGCAGGCGCGCAAAUUACCCAAUUCUAACAGUUUGAGAGAGGUAGUAACAAGAAAUAACAAUACAAGGCAGUUAAAAUGCUUUGUAAUUGGAAUGAUAGAAAUUUAAACCCUUUUUAAAGUAUCAAUUGGAGGGCAAGUCUGGUGCCAGCAGCCGCGGUAAUUCCAGCUCCAAUAGCGUAUAUUAAAAUUGUUGCAGUUAAAAAGCUCGUAGUUGAAGUUCUGCUGAAAGUAACCGGUCUGCUUUUAAUAAAAGUGGUAUCUUGGUAUGUAUUUAGCAAUGAUGUCCUUUGAAGUGUUUUUUACUUUAUUGUAAUAAAGCAUAUUCAGGACUUUUACUUUGAGAAAAUUAGAGUGUUUCUAGCAGGCUAACGCUUUGAAUACUGCA